rfam:Actinobacteria bacterium OK074 ctg317, whole genome shotgun sequence.
CUUCACCGAACCAAGCCACAACGGCCGAUCCCCCGACCGCCCCUGCCCAUACGUCGCCAACAACGCCUGCGCCUC